GUAGUCCACGCCGUAAACGAUGAGUGCUAGGUGUUAGGGGUUUCGAUGCCCUUAGUGCCGACGUUAACACAUUAAGCACUCCGCCUGGGGAGUACGGCCGCAAGGCUGAAACUCAAAGGAAUUGACGGGGACCCGCACAAGCAGUGGAGCAUGUGGUUUAAUUCGAAGCAACGCGAAGAACCUUACCAGGACUUGACAUCCUUUGAACACUCUAGAGAUAGAGCUUUCCCCUUCGGGGGACAAAGUGACAGGUGGUGCAUGGUUGUCGUCAGCUCGUGUCGUGAGAUGUUGGGUUAAGUCCCGCAACGAGCGCAACCCUUAAUCUUAGUUGCCAGCAUUCAGUUGGGCAC
rnacentral:rRNA from 1 species